rnacentral:rRNA from 1 species
AUGAACGCUAGCGGCAGGCUUAACACAUGCAAGUCGAGGGGUAUAGUAGCAAUACUAGAGACCGGCGCACGGGUGCGUAACGCGUAUGCAAUCUACCUUUCACAGAGGGAUAGCCCAGAGAAAUUUGGAUUAAUACCUCAUAGUAUUAUAGAAUGGCAUCAUUUUAUAAUUAAAGUCACAACGGUGAAAGAUGAGCAUGCGUCCCAUUAGCUAGAUGGUAAGGUAACGGCUUACCAUGGCAACGAUGGGUAGGGGUCCUGAGAGGGAGAUCCCCCACACUGGUACUGAGACACGGACCAGACUCCUACGGGAGGCAGCAGUGAGGAAUAUUGGUCAAUGGGCGCAAGCCUGAACCAGCCAUGCCGCGUGCAGGAUGACGGUCCUAUGGAUUGUAAACUGCUUUUGUACAGGAAGAAACACUCCCUCGUGAGGGAGCUUGACGGUACUGUAAGAAUAAGGAUCGGCUAACUCCGU